rnacentral:rRNA from 1 species
GGGCGCCCGAAUUUUCUAUAGUGUUUUUACGGGGGGCAGCGGUGAGGAAUAUUGCAUCAAGGGUGGAAGCAUGAUGCAGCUCCUCCUCUCGAGGAAAGAAGGCUUUCGGGUCGUAAACCUUUUUUAUCAGGAAGGGAUGAUGACCGUCCCUGAUUAAUAACCACCGCCUUUUCCAGU